GGUAUUGCCUUAGUAGCGGCGAGUGAAGCGGCAAAAGCUCAAAUUUGAAAUCUGGCUCUUUCAGAGUCCGAGUUGUAAUUUGAAGAAGGUAUCUUUGGGUCUGGCUCUUGUCUAUGUUUCUUGGAACAGAACGUCACAGAGGGUGAGAAUCCCGUGCGAUGAGAUGAUCCAGGCCUAUGUAAAGUUCCUUCGAAGAGUCGAGUUGUUUGGGAAUGCAGCUCUAAGUGGGUGGUAAAUUCCAUCUAAAGCUAAAUAUUGGCGAGAGACCGAUAGCGAACAAGUACAGUGAUGGAAAGAUGAAAAGAACUUUGAAAAGAGAGUGAAAAAGUACGUGAAAUUGUUGAAAGGGAAGGGCUUGAGAUCAGACUUGGUAUUUUGUAUGUUACUUCUUCGGGGGUGGCCUCUACAGUUUAUCGGGCCAGCAUCAGUUUGGGCGGUAGGAGAAUUGCGUUGGAAUGUGGCACGGCCUCGGUUGUGUGUUAUAGCCUUCGUCGAUACUUGCCAGCCUAGACUGAGGACUGCGGUUUAUACCUAGGAUGUUGGCAUAAUGAUCUUAAGUC
rnacentral:rRNA from 1 species